rnacentral:lncRNA from 1 species
GGGGUCUGGUUUUAUAGUCCCUUCAAGUGAAUCUGGGCCGUCGGAUCAAACCGACAUUAAUCGCACGGUUUUCCUUGAUCCUUUAGGUCGGUGGAGCGUUGUCCGCGAAACGUAUCCUGAUUGGGCACUGUAGCUGGGCGGGCGCCCAGGAGAGUUGGGCGGGCGCCCUGCCUCCGAGCCCGAUUUCCUUCCCGUUCGUUCCCGUGGCUUCUGGAGUCUUCUAGAUGAUAGAAAAUUGCGCGACACGUUAAUAUCUCUAUGUAUACCCGACGUGUGGGCCUUUCUUCCAUAUUUCCUGAUAACCCCCUGCAGAAAU